GAAAGGGAUAUAGGACGUCUGAAAUGGCUUGGAUAGUAACAUCCCUGGCUUCACAUUGCAUAGAUCCUCUGUGGAGAAAAGGGAGAGUGCAAGAAUGGAAGCCUCUGGGUCUGGGUGGGCACUGAGGCUGCCACUAAACAUAACUGGAGCUGAAAGUAGUUUCAGUUCUUUCUACUUGGAGAGGUGAGACGCUUUGACAUCUCUUUCCCAAAAAAAUAUCUGCUUUGGGAAGAAAAGAGACAGUGCAGAGCAAAAUAUCACUGCGCAGAUGUGUUCAGCUCUUGAUUAAUAACGAAAGCUACCAUUGAGUUACUGAUGGCUCUCCCAUACCCGCUGUUGGUAGUGGUUUGUAUGCUGUACUGCGUGCAUGUUUUUUAUGGCUUGUAUAUUUCAGAUCCCUAUUAAACCUGAUUGUGCUUGGUAGUAGUUGAAAGGAAAAGAGGAAGACUAAAUGUUUUGGCAGGCAGAGCGUAGUUUCGUUUUUGCCAGUGACUGGGAUUGAUUUCAAACCUGGAGCUGAUUUCGGUUCCAGUUGUGUGCAUUGCUCAGGCUGCUGUUAAAGAAAUCCAUUUCACAUAAAUAAAGGCCAUGAUAAAGUAUAUGAGCUAGGAAUUGGUCCCAAACUUUCAAAGCAAAAAAAUUUAAGAGAUAUCCCCAGCAGUUCUCUGCAGCCUUCCUUCACAGUGUGAGUAUCGCCAGUAUGACUUUGUGCAGUGCUGACUUAAGAUCUUCACGUGGUAAUGUAUAUGUAUAUAUGAAACAUAAAUGGCAACAUUCUAAGAAGUCUAAUUUACUAUAUCAGAUAUUUGGACUUUAGUAGUCUCUGGAGUAGGUAUCACAAGUAUACAGCAGGUAUCCUCUGGAGCAGGUAUCUGGAGCAGGCUGCAGAAACUCUUGGGUCAGUGAUAACUGAGGCAGCAGUUAAAUAUACCAAGUAGGACAAAGGCAGCAGAUGCAUUUAAGCAGAGGGAGUUUCCUUUUAAUUGAAAGAGGAUCUUGGACCUUAGGGUUUUUUUUUUUUUUUAAGUAUGAAUUCCUGCAGGAAAUGUCCCAUUUUUGCAGGCGCUGUUGGCUUUGUAUCUCUUGAUGUCUUUUCCUUCUCCCAACAUCAGUGUUCUCCAGCAGAGGGCAGGGAGCAGAGUGCAGCACAGCCCCUCUGCCCACAGCUGCUCCCAGCCCCGGGCUCUGCCAGCAGCUCUAUGCUCCUGCUGCUGCCAGAACAGCUCUUACAACCCGCAGCUGCCUCCCUACCCGUCUCCUGAAGAACUUCUCUGAAAAGAGAAACGCAGCAGAAAGCACAUUAUUGUAUAUAGACAAGUAAUUCUGACCGUCUCUUUCCAGUCUGUGGGUUGGAGGUUUUCCAUCCCUUGCCAGAAAGGGAUGUCUUGCUGGAGUUGCCGUGACUUCAGGUUUCUUGGAGAUAUCUUCCUCUCCCGUGUGGUAUUUUUAUUUUGGCAGAAUUUGAGACUUUUUUUGUGCAGUUGCUUGGGAUUCCAGAUGCCUGACAGCUCAGGUAGCUCUCCUUUACCUACGUCUCCAGGCAUCCAGAAAGCUUGGACAUCUAUGCACAGUGUCAGCCCCACUUGGAUUUGCUUGAAGCCCAGCAGUAAAGGUUGGAUGGGGCACACAGUGAGUGGAUGGACCUGUGUCAUCACAGCACCAAGUGACAUAUUAUGGGAAUUCAGAUGUCUAACAGGGUAGGAUUCAGCCCGAUGGCACUAUAUGGGAAUUUACGGUCCUCAGAAGAAACAUUUUUUCCCUCAAAUUCCAUUUAAAGUCCUUGAAUAAUAAUACACAGGUCUGACCUUUCAGACAGAAAGGUAGCAAGUCCUCUGUUCAGUGGACACACAGCUGAAAUUCAGAGAUCAAUUCUCAGUUGUUUAGCAAUCAACUCCAUUCAAGCCACUCUGACUUUCUAGCUGCAUAAAAAGAAGCAGACAAGGCUUCCAAUUACAGGCAAAAACUGCUCUUAUACCAGAGGAACAUUGCAUGUGAACUCCUGAUUGUUGCAGCUUUGUGUUGUUAUAUUCCAGGCAUUCGAAGGAGCUCCUCAGGAAACGACACAGUGCUUCGCCAGUAAUGCCACCUUCAGCUUGAAAUGCUGUCAGCUAUUGUUACAAGAUCAAUGUUAUUCCUUCAGCACGUAUUUCGAAUACAUAUUGUUCUUACCACAAACAUCUUCCACAACCACUUCCAGUUUGUGCUGUCAGUGUUGUGCAUUGUCUGUAUUGCAGCAGUCUUCUUCCUCCUCCAAAGCUAUUAAUGUCUUCACAGGACCUCAGCAGGCUCUGCAGAGUGCAGAUGAUCACAUUACAAAUUUAAUAGAAGUAAUAUAGACUUGCACGUUCCAUGUGUUUGAGUGGUUUGCUGAUAUUCAAUUCAAAUUGAAUUGCCUAAUCCUGCUGGAGAAAAAGCUGCAGGAGAAUCAAUCUUGUGAGACACUGUUUUAUGUGUUGUGUAGAUGAUAUAAAGUGACAUAGACACACAUCAGCACCAGGGGUGGCCAGGGUCUGUCUGAGCAAGCAGGGGGAGCUGGUAGCAGGGUGCUGUGCGUUGUGCCAAUGAUGGCUUGCAGCAAGGAAAUCUGAGCACAGUCUCUUUGUUAUCUUUUGAGUAGUUGUUCAACAUGCAGAUGGAGCCAGUGACCACCAGGAGGACUGUUUUUUAUGGAGCAUGUGUAGGCAAGUGGGUUUUGGCUGCUUGCAUUGAAAUGUGCUUGAAGAGAGGUAUUUUGCUGUUGUCACAGAAUCACAAAAUGACUGAGGCUGGGAGGGCCCCCACAGUCUCUGGGCAGCCUGUGCCAGUGCUUUGUCACCAGCAGAGUAAAGAAAUGCUUCCUGGGGUUCAGAGGGAACCUCCUGUGCUCCAAGUUGUUCCCAUUGCCCUUUGUCCUGGUACUGUGCACCACUAACAAAAGCCUGGCUCCAUCUUCUCUGCAUGGAGACAGAGGCCAACGAGAAUCUCAUGGAGUGCAAUAAGGAGAAUUGCUAAGUUCUGUACCUGGGGAGGAACAACCCGAGGCACCAGUAUGUGCUGGGGACACCCAAAUGGAAAGCAGCUCUGCAGGAAUGGAAUUAAUAGUCCUGGUGAAUACCAAGUUGGUAAGCCAGCAACAUGCCCUUGCCUUUAAGAAGGUUAAUGGUGUUCUGGGCUGCAUUAGGCAAGGUAUAGCUAGCAGGUCAAGAGAGGUGAUCAUUCAUUCAUCAGUGAUGAGGCUGUGCUUGGAGUGCUGCAUAUGGUUCUGGGCUCCCAGUGUAAGAGAGAUAUGGGUGUACUGGAGAGAGUCUGACAGAUGGCCACCACAGUGAUCCUCCUAUGAGGAGGGGCUGAGAAAGCCAGGAUUGUUCAGCCUGGAGAAGAGCUGGCUCAAGUAGGGGUCUCAUCAGUGAGUGUGAUGGUAUAUGUGAGAUGCCCAUUUGCUUGGUGAUAAAGCACUAUCUAUGAGAGCACCUCGUUCAACCAUCAAAACUUGAGGAAUGAAAGAAAAUGAAUGCUGGAUGGGGAAGUGGUGAAUGUGGGAGCUGAUGGCAGCUCCUUUGAGUCUAUGCCCCACUGCAGAGGCCUACAUUGAUUUUUUCUUGAACAUCCUUGUGAAGUAGAUGACAGAAAGACAGCUAAACUUCUCCUGGAAAUCAACUGGUAGAUAGGGUGGCAGUCACUUUCACCCCUCCCUUCACAAGCUGCCUGAUUAUUUACUUCACAUCCAUAAAAAUGCAUGGAUAUAUACUCAUAUAUGUCAACCAAAAUGAAGUUAUCAGUAGCACAGCAGCCAUGUCAGGGCUGUCUUAAUCUAUUAAUCCACAGGGGUGAUAGUUUUCCAAACAGGGUUCAAAGAAAUAUUUUCUAUCACACACUUUGUAUUGUGCUUAUUCACCAGGCUCAUUUUAUUUCACAUUUGAGAGUUCAGGAAGGAAGCUGGGCUGGAAUAAUGAUUUCAGACUGCUUAAUUCACCCCAUGUGGAUCUGCCCUAAGCAAACAACAAGAUGGCAGCAAGGCUGAUUAAAAGAAAAAGUCAGAUCUCUUUGGAUCUUGGUGUAAAUUGGCAUAAAUAUUCUUGAAGCUUCAUUCUCUUUCUUGUUUUGUUAACAGUAUCAGGCUUCUUUUGUUGACUUACGGUGUUAGUUGCUGUUGGAAAUUUACAGAGAAGAGAUUACUGCUGCCUUUUGACUCAGUGCAGGAAAGGCAUGAUGCAAAACCUUCCCUGGUGGGGAAGGAAGGUGGGGAGCGGUUUUUGAUUAUUUUCAGUGAUAACAUUGCUGGAUGAAGAUAUGAAAAUAUUUGUUCCCAGUCUUUGAUCCAAGUGGUUUGCCAACCAGCAGCCCCACAGAUAGCUGUCAGGAAAACAGGUAGAGAAUAGAGCCUAUGUUGUUCUGAUGCAGUCCUGUUUAUCUUAGAAGAAUGUGAAGCUUUGCUUCCCCAAGAGCAGGGAAUCAAACAAAAGAAGGUAGGGUUGUUCUGCUGAUCAUGGCUUCCUCUUUGUGAGGACACUGCCUAAGAGCUGCCCUUGGGGCUCUUCCUUGGUGGCUGACUCUCAGCCUUUGGUCUGUCCGGAGUCCUUCUCCUCUUGUGUCCUUCUCACCAAACUGUGAGUAGAGGAGCCCUCCUUCGUAAGCUCAGUCUCUCUCCCACUUGGCAUAUGUUAUCAGUGGUGGUUUCUGUCCUCCCAAGAAUUGUGUUGUACAGUGAAGCUCCAUUCUCAUCUGUGCUGUCUCACAGGAAAUGUGGAUAAAAACUUACAUAUUGCCUGUUAACUCUGCAAAUGAUGUGUAAGGAUGCAUGAAAAUUCAGUAAUGUAGUAAUGUUAGUGCUUCGGUGUGUUUACUGGGAAGGAGGAAACUGUGACCAGUUACUAUGUCAUUUAAAGGCAGUGACAAAGAAGUUAUCAAACUAAACUAGUGGGGAACAGUCCUUUUGUUCCUACUCAAACCAUGAAGGAGUGGCUGGUGUGAAGGAUGGCAUGAAGGAGUUUCCUGGAGUCAAAACAUACCGGGUUCUUGACAUAACUGUGGGGGACCUCAAGCAGUAAUCACUCUGUUGUGUCUCCUUCUCUGUUUUUAUUAAACCUGCUCAACCUAUUUAACCUAACCCUCCAAUCCUGCAGCAUAGCUUUCAGUCUUGCACCUCUGGUUCCUGUGACCAGAUUGUCUACUGCAAUGCAGAAGCUGCCCAGAUGUGAAAGACUGUUGUGUUUCUUCUAAACACAGAGCUUGAGCUACUAAAUGGAGAUUCCUACUAGCUUUUUAUAUCUCAUGUGUUCUAAAAAGAAUACGCUGGUGAUCGGUUAUUUGGUUUUCUAUUUCCUCAAAUAUUUAUUUCACAAAAAGCAACACUUUUGAAAAUGAGAUAAAGUCUUAUCAUCAUUUCAUUCAAGAUAAACAUUUUAUAUUAUGGCUGGGAUAUUCUGGAUCAGAUUUUGGUUCCAAGGGUCGCUUUGCAUUGAUUGCCUUUCUGCUAUGACCUUCAGAUGUCUUCAGAUUCGUGCUUCUUUUGUUUCUACCCCUGUUUUGGCUUGCCAAGAAAAGAAAUUCACAAGAAAAGAAAAAGGGAAGAAAACAAGAGCUUUGACAUACUUGGUGAAUUAAGUUGAGAUCUCUUCUUCUGUGUAUUAUCUCAGCAGUUUGUGUAUAAUCUCCAGGCAGUCUUCAGCUGGUCUGACGCAGGGCAGCCUGCAAGACUGUUCCAUCUAUGCAUGUCCAGUCUGUGGGUUGCAGCUGCUUCCAUUUCCCUACCCAUCUUGAUUCAGAUUUGGACCACCUUCACAGUCAGGAGUCAGUGGGGAGGUGAUCAACCCCAAAGUCAUGGGGUAAGGAAGCUGCAAGGUGGAGCGGUGUUGUUUUUCCUCAAAAAGGUACACAGCAUCCUGAAUCUUCCAGUGUCCCUUUCUCCAUGACCCAGUUCUUAAUCAGGAGGCCUCUGAGUGUGUUUUGGAUCAGCACCUGGCCCAGGUGAUGCUGCACUGCAAGGCAGACGUGCCCUGAGAAGAUAAGCCCAGCGGGUUGCCUGCCCUGUGUGGAUAUUCCAGCAACAAAAAAGGACAAAAUCGUAUCUGCCCUUUACCUUUGUGAUGAAAACUUUCAUCGUGGGACCCCAAGAGGUCUUCAAGCGUAUACACUACAACCAGUGCCAUGAGCCAACGGAGAGCAGCAAAUCCCUAUUUAAAGCAUUUUGCCUACUAUGUGCUGCAGUCAGCUGGAUAGCCGGAUAAAAUUAUUUGCUUUGCCUCGAUCGUAUCCUGUGCUUCUCCUCCUCAUUCUCUGCCGCUGCUUACAAAUGCGUGUGUAACCAUGGUCAGUCCCUGUUCAGGUUUUGUCUUCUCUGACUGCGUUUGUUUACAGCAAGAUAAGUACAGUCAUUGAUUAUUUUGCUUUACAAUCCUGAAUGAGAACAAAGCAGUGGUGAUAGUUACCAUGGGGCAGCAGGAUGAGGUCAGCAUCCUGUCUAGGGCUGAUCUCACCUAACUGACUUCAGGAUAAAAUUACGCUGUCUUGAUUUCCUUAGACUUUUGUAUCACUGCAGUCUUAUCAGACAGUUUUACAACAUUUUUCUUCAAGGAAAGUGAAGUAAAGCAGUAGUAAAGCAGACCACUGCUGUUACAUCUCCCAUCGCUCCUGAAUUUGUAUUUAGAGUAAUGUUGCUCUGUGUACGCACUGUGCAUUUUCCAUUUGCACAGUUCUGUCCCUGCAACCUUCUUCUUGCCAUCCUAACAAGAACUUUCCUUCAAAUAACCUUGGAGAGAUUUCUUUAUCUGCAUAUAUGACUAAUCAGCAAGGUCUUAUGAUUAUUAUAAAGCAAUUUGUUGGAGGUAGGAAUUAGAGCAUGAAACCGGGACCGAGGAAACCAGAUUUGCAGUCCUUGCUCUACUAAUGACUGAUUAGAUAUGGCCUUCAGCAAGUCAAUUUGGCCUCAGUUUUCAGAUGUGCUGAUUUAAUUUUUAGUCUCUCGCCUCCAGCUUUCUUUUCUUCCUUAUUCCAGGAGGAGGGAGGUGCUUAUGGUAUGCAAACCUGGUAUUUCGCUCUGCCUCAAAAACAUCUCAGUCUGGGGAGUCGGAAGCAGAAAAUGUUUUUGGAAAUGGUGAUGCUGUGAUUAAUGUUCCUUGCCUAUCUGCUGCCCCUAAUCACACAGAGAACUAACUCUUUGUUGCGAAAUACUGUGGGCAAAUAAAUGCGGUGUGUGGCACGCCUGUGUGUCAGCAGCAAGCACAGUUCUAUUCCGAGAGCUUGAUUGUUUCUGAAUUUGUUUCUGCUUUACCCAUCCUUCUAAGAUCAAUUACUGCUGAGUGAUUCAUCACGGCAUAUUCCUGAGUUUGUCAAAGAAUCUGCAAUCUGGGGAAGGAAUGAAAGGAUGAACCUAUGAUAAGCUGGAAGGUAACUGGGUACAAGAGAGGGAAAGGAGUAAAAUCUGCAGCAGCUGCAUUUGUGAAUUAUGACCUUACUGAGUUCUUUAUAUUUUCUCCCCCAGUUAGCAGAUAAACCUAGGGACUGGAACAAUUUCUUGGGCUGAACAAAUAUGAGAAGUAAGUUUGGGAAAUACCUAGAACCCCUAUUUCCAGCUGUAACUAGGUAUUUACUGUCUAUCCGAGAAGUGUCCCUAGCAUUAUGUGUUAGGGAGAUCCUAACUUUGUGGCAGUAGGUGUGCACUUCUCUUUCCCCCUUCUGAAAAAGGCUGGGCCUCCUCUUCCUCCUGCUCUUCAUCACAGCCUGCCCCAACCCCUGCACUCCAGCCUUCUCCAACUCUGGCAGAAAGAGCUGCCCUGGGUGCUGGGACAGGAGAGCAGAAAGACCUUUGCUUGGGGAGAAAGAGAGAAACAGAAAAACAAAAGGGAUGCAGACAAAAGCAGCCUGGGCUUUUCCCUCUUCUGUCCAUCUCCUAUGACACAGACUGGAUCUCCCACGGCAACUCUGCUCUUGGGGGUGAGAAUCAUUGCAUUGUAGGAGACAGUGAAAAAUGAGAUGUGGGGUCCAACAGAGUUGACGAGAGCAGAGUUUAGCUACAUCAGACUGAGUUUCACAUUGAGUUUCAAUAACAGUUUGUAAAUAUUUAUGAACUGUCCUUUUUCUUCUGUUCUUUUUUUUUCAUCAGCUCACACUUUUGAGCCUUCUGUAGGCUGCGGUUGCCUGCUGGAGACUCAGCAACCGGAGCACUUCUGGUGCUGCCCUGCAUCCCGAGCCAGACAGAGAGGGACCAGGACCCCCUGGGAAGGGGCAGAGUGGAUGGACAGCCAAGGGCAGGAAUAGCUGCUGGUGCCCAACCCUCAUCUCUCACCGGUGUGACUGCGGGGCAGCUCUCUGCGUGGCAAAGAAAACCAGAGUUGUGGGUGAAGUCUCCGCGAGCCUGUACGGAGCAUUUCUAUGUCAGUAGCAGAAAAGAAAACAUGUAGGAACCAAGUGUUCAAAUGUUGGUGGAAAACAGCUAUAUUUAGCCGCUCUAAAAAUUGCCCAGUACAAGGCAUAGAGGAAAUGUCUGUGGCAACAUACACUCCUAUGGUUUCACCUGUUGCGGUGCUUCUUAAGCCUAGAAAUGUCAGUAAAAUAAGUAGCAAAGCAGCUAAAGCUUCCCCAGAAGAAGUGCCAGCAAACUAAGCUCACUUGUUGAAGCAGCCGUUGCUGAACUAUGAAUUGACCUUGAGCUGUGUUGAUUUACUGUAAUUCAAACCAUCUGCACUCUGAAACAAUUAAAGCCUUCAGAUCUCUGA